CUUGCUUCUCUUGAGAGCGGCGGACGGGUGAGUAAUGCCUAGGAAUCUGCCUGGUAGUGGGGGAUAACGUUCGGAAACGGACGCUAAUACCGCAUACGUCCUACGGGAGAAAGCAGGGGACCUUCGGGCCUUGCGCUAUCAGGAUGAGCCUAGGUCGGAUUAGCUAGUUGGUGAGGUAAUGGCUCACCAAGGCGACGAUCCGUAACUGGUCUGAGAGGAUGAUCAGUCACACUGCAACUGAGACACGGUCCAGACUCCUACGGGAGGCAGCAGUGGGGAAUAUUGGACAAUGGGCGAAAGCCUGAUCCAGCCAUGCCGCGUGUGUGAAGAAGGUCUUCGGAUUGUAAAGCACUUUAAGUUGGGAGGAAGGGCAGUUACCUAAUACGUGAUUGUUUUGACGUUACCGACAGAAUAAGCACCGGCUAACUCUGUGCCAGCCAGCCGC
rnacentral:rRNA from 1 species